UACGGGGGGGGCAAGCGUUGUUCGGAAUUACUGGGCGUAAAGGGCUCGUAGGUGGCCAACUAAGUCAGACGUGAAAUCCCUCGGCUUAACCGGGGAACUGCAUCUGAUACUGGAUGGCUUGAGUUUGGGAGAGGGAUGCGGAAUUCCUGGUGUAGCGGUGAAAUGCGCAGAUAUCAGGAGGAACACCGGUGGCGAAGGCGGGUCUCUGGGCCGUAACUGACGCUGAGGAGCGAAAGCGUGGGGAGCGAACAGG
rnacentral:rRNA from 1 species